GCCAAAGUGGUGUAGUGGUUUGAGCACAGGACUAUGACCCCGAAGACCAGGGUUCAAAUCCCCACUCAAGCA
rnacentral:tRNA from 1 species